GCGAGAAAACGCACGUACUCCCUUCGAUGCGUGCUCUCUAGAUUCGUACGGGCAUGGCGCCGCUGGUGGCGGCCGGUCCUCUUCUCCUGCCAUCCGCUGCCCUGUUCUCCUUCCCCUCCUCAUCUGCCCGCAGCCCACACAUCCGCCCCCGCUCCAGCUGCAGGUCUUCCUCCAGACGGCGACGGCGGUGCCAAAGGGCCCAACAUCCCAACUGUUGGAAGGCAAAUCCCUAGACCCAAAUCCCCUCCCGCUGCAGCCGGAGACGACUCCAAGCCCCUCCCAGUCGUAAGCCGGAGGACGAGGCCCUGGAUUCCGUCGCCGAGGAGGAGCCGGCGGUUGAGGUGGAGGAGGAGGUCGCGGUGGUGUGGAGGAGGUCCGGGAGUACUUGGAGCCGUCGGAGGAGGCCAAGGUGUACAUGUGCAGCCUUACCUACGACGUCAGCAGCUAGCACCUGACGCAGCUCUUCGAUCAGGCCGGCGUCGAGGUUUCCUAGAUGGCUGCUAUGCUACUUUUUUCGAUGAUCAAUCAUCGUGAGUUUCAAAGAAACUUCCAAUGUUAUCUCCGCCGAGUUCGCCAGUGGAAGAAGAACAUCCGUUGAGCCAUCCAAUGUCGCCUGCUGCGGCUAUACCAGAGGUAUGUAUCCCCUUGAAAGCUAAUCAGUUGAUAGAAGCCCCUGUUUCAGUUUAUUGUUUCUGAAUUGGUGCCACUUCUGAUGGCUCUUGUUUCAGUUUAUUGUUUCUGAAUUGGACAGUAGAUAGAAGCCCCUGAACCGACCCAUCUAUCUUAUGUCACAUCCAACAGAUAUAAUCAUAUGUUUUUGUGUUGUGCACCAAGAUGGCGCAGCAUCAGAUGUUUCCUGUGACAAUUUCUACUUUGUUUUAUGGAACAAUUCAUACAAGGGUGCACAAUAUGGCAAACAUAUAUAUGCACUUCUUGUAAUUCUAAAAUAAUAUGUUGCCCAAAAUGAACAAUUCGGCAGUUGCAAAUUUUACAGGAGCGAUUUCCACUGAAGGAAGUGAUGUUCACAAUUGUCGUUUUAUGUUUUGAUCUAUUUUCCCUUUUAUUUUUUUACAAGAGCGAACUUCUACAUGAUGCAAGCUAACUCCCAGAGCUUAUACACGCUAACUGCUACUGACUCCCAAAGUGGACACUUUUUAUUGUAUAACUGCUGGACAUUUAAUGGCUAACUGAACAGAAUCGAUAAUGUGUAAAUUACUGAAACAAAAAGUGGACCGAGCACAUAGCGGUGAACUUAUGUGGUUUUUCAGUCAGCUAGCUUCUACAGCCAUCCAGGAGUAACACUAACUGCUGGAACCAGGGUAGAAAGAUAAUGAAUGAAUUCUGAUAUACAGAAUGAUCUUGUUAAAGGAUACGACUUUUGUUCAAUUUUUCCCUCGGAUGUUGAUUUUACUUGGUGAUAGUUAAUCCCAAUGCAACCUGUUUGUAUUCAUGUCUGUAGGAGCUGAUUGGUCUUCUUAUUUGACUUGUAGAUGAGCACCAAGCUGUUUUUCUUUUGAUGUACUUUACACACCUAUUUGCUCUGGAGAUGCUCCUUUUGUGCAUUCAUUUCAGACAGUAUUUUAUAACUUCUGUCCAUUGAGAAAUUCGGAUCUGUUAGUUGAUUUAUCUAUGUGCUUUGUGUUAAGUGAAGAUAACCUUAUGUGAAGAUAAUUCAGACAGUGUUACUGUAACUUUUGUCCAUUCAGAAAGUGCUGAAGGCCGGGUUGUGUCGAUCCGGUAAGUGUUGGCGGACGAUAUAGUUUCCGAUUGCUCUUGUUUUAUUUUAUUGUUUCUGAAUUGGCCAGUAGAUAGAAGCUCGCUUAAUUAUGGUGAUUAAUCCAACGUUGUUGGAUAUUGUUUCAAUCAAAAUCAAUCUGUGUAACCUCAUAAUUCAUUGGAUGUAGGCCACUGGCAGCUGCCGCUUUUCUGAUAAUAGUAAACUCCAGGAGUUCUCCAUUUGUACAAACUUUCAGAGAUUCAUACAGUUCAGACAAGUAAUACUAAAUUGCUGUAAAUUUUUUAUUUGUGACAGGGACCUCCUGCACAUCGUCUCUGUCACUCUGUGUCAGCCGUGUGCUCCUGGUACUGGCAGUGUGUCCAAUCACAGCCAAUUUUAUUGGCAUACAUACUUGAACUCUGAACUCUUUUCAGAUGGUGUUGUAAAAACAUUGGCUCAUAGAUUUUGUUAGUAAUUAUUAUUCAGAACAUUUCCUUUUAA